rnacentral:tRNA from 1 species
GAGGGCAUAGCUCAGUGGCAGAGCACGUGCCCAGCAGGCACAAGGUCCUGAGUUCAAACCCCAGCACCUCCA